GAGACUGAUCCUAUUUACAACCCACAGUAUGCCGCAGGGCUAAAGAAACUCUGUCAAAAUUAUCAACAAGAUCCUUCCAUGUCAGCGUAUAACGACGUGAUGACACCUAACAAGUUUGAUAACAUGUAUUUUAAAAACUUGAAGAGAGGGUUAGGGCUUUUGGCUACAGAUAGUUUGAUGUUUGAGGAUAAGAGGACAAAACCCUUUGUGGAAUUGUAUGCUACAGACCAAACUAAGUUCUUUGAGGAUUUUGGUAAUGCUAUGCGCAAGGUUAGUGUUUUGCAUGUUAAGGCGGGGAAGGAAGGAGAGAUACGACAUAGGUGUGAUACUUUCAACAAACUUAAUGAUAAUCUAUGAAGUCCAGACUCCGAAAGGCACACCUCACACGGCACGGACACGUCGACAUUGCUAAUGUAAAAAACAUGGGACACCGACACCACUAGGUUAUCCAUCUACUAUCGAAAAGUUAAAAAUAUUUUUAUCAAAAUGUAAUCUCUUUAAUCCCUCAUUGAUCAACAUUAUUGUUUUGACGCAUUUUAAUCCUUGUAAAUAUGUCUAAUAUGUGUUUGAGGAGAGUAGAGGCAAAGAAGAAAACACUAAAUUUUUUGGGGCACUUGUCCGACACAGUGUCUUAUAGGUGUCAGACACCGAUCUAAGAAGUGUCGAAGUAAAGAAAAAUAAUAAUUUUUUUGACGCCUGUCUGACGAGUUGGGAUCCUCUCCAUUUCCUAUUAAUUUAAUUUCUUCCAUUACCAAAGUUUUUAAAUGUUUUGGAGUGUAUAAAAAAUAUUUGGACCCUUUUGCUUUAUAUUCCCAAAACUAUAUAAUAAUGGAUGAAAUGGAAAGAAUGAGAAAUGGAGAGAAUCCCAACACCUGUCUGACCUAUCCAACGACGUGUGUCGUAGAAGUGUCGAGUGUCGGACACCGACACGUGUCAAACACCGCAAAACGUCUAUUCAUAUAGGUGUCCAUCUUUUGUAGAUUAUACUUGAUUUGAGACCAACAGAUUAAUUAUUAUUACUAGUUAAGGGAUUUAAGUACACGUUUUUAAUUUUGUUGUGUUACUUAUUGUGUAGAUUCAAUUGAUUAAUGUGAAACGAAAUGAAAAUUGGUGUUAACUUUCUCUAAUACUGCUGCUCAGUUAAAUUAAUGUUAAGUAAAUUCCCUAUAAAUCGAUUCCCAGUUAUAUCUCUAAUUAUUAAUUGCAUGUUAGUACUAAUUCAUUCAUGUAAUCAAUAACUAAAAUAUUCUAGAGAUAUUAAUAUAAGGGUAAAGCUAAUAACCUAAUAAGGAACCAACCCACCUUUGAAUUAGAGGUGUGAUAACAACGAGAGUUGUAGAGCUGGAAAUGGAUUCUUUACAAAAUUCCUUGAUCCCCCUUCAAGCUCCAAUUACAACCCAUGACCUCUUGAUUGCUAGAAAUUCACAUGCUCAAAAAGAAUUACGAGGGUUGGGGAAAGGAGAAGGGAGGAAUAAGUCAGUCACUUACCUUGGUUGGGUAAAGGAGAAAGGAAUUACAAGGGCUGCUACUGUUGUGAUUGCAUGCAAGGUUAAGCUCUGGUUGUAAAAUUGGUGUGGGUUGAAAUGAAUGGAAAGGAGUGGCUCAGUCAAAUUGAG
rnacentral:lncRNA from 1 species